GAUGAACGCCGGCGGUGUGCCUAAUACAUGCAAGUCGAACGCGUUGGCCCAAUUGAUUGAUGGUGCUUGCACCUGAUUGAUUUUGGUCGCCAACGAGUGGCGGACGGGUGAGUAACACGUAGGUAACCUGCCCAGAAGCGGGGGACAACAUUUGGAAACAGAUGCUAAUACCGCAUAACAACGUUGUUCGCAUGAACAACGCUUAAAAGAUGGCUUCUCGCUAUCACUUCUGGAUGGACCUGCGGUGCAUUAGCUUGUUGGUGGGGUAACGGCCUACCAAGGCAAUGAUGCAUAGCCGAGUUGAGAGACUGAUCGGCCACAAUGGGACUGAGACACGGCCCAUACUCCUACGGGAGGCAGCAAUAGGGAAUCUUCCACAAUGGGCGCAAGCCUGAUGGAGCAACACCGCGUGAGUGAAGAAGGGUUUCGGCUCGUAAAGCUCUGUUGUUAAAGAAGAACACGUAUGAGAGUAACUGUUCAUACGUUGACGGUAUUUAACCAGAAAGUCACGGCUAACUACGUGCCAGCAGCCGCGGUAAUACGUAGGUGGCAAGCGUUAUCCGGAUUUAUUGGGCGUAAAGAGAGUGCAGGCGGUUUUCUAAGUCUGAUGUGAAAGCCUUCGGCUUAACCGGAGAAGUGCAUCGGAAACUGGAUAACUUGAGUGCAGAAGAGGGUAGUGGAACUCCAUGUGUAGCGGUGGAAUGCGUAGAUAUAUGGAAGAACACCAGUGGCGAAGGCGGCUACCUGGUCUGCAACUGACGCUGAGACUCGAAAGCAUGGGUAGCGAACAGG
rnacentral:rRNA from 1 species